UACGUAGGGGGCGAGCGUUGUCCGGAUUUAUUGGGCGUAAAGAGCGUGUAGGCGGCUUUACAGGUCCGUUGUGAAAACUCGAGGCUCAACCUCGAGACGCCGGUGGAAACCGUAAGGCUAGAGUCCGGAAGAGGAGAGUGGAAUUCCUGGUGUAGCGGUGAAAUGCGCAGAUAUCAGGAGGAACACCCGUGGCGAAAGCGGCUCUCUGGGACGGUACUGACGCUGAGACGCGAAAGCGUGGGGAGCAAACAGG
rnacentral:rRNA from 1 species